UACGGAGGAUCCAAGCGUUAUCCGGAAUCAUUGGGUUUAAAGGGUCCGUAGGCGGUCUUAUAAGUCAGUGGUGAAAUCUCCCCGCUCAACGGGGAAACUGCCAUUGAUACUGUAAGACUUGAAUUAUUGUGAAGUAACUAGAAUAUGUAGUGUAGCGGUGAAAUGCUUAGAGAUUACAUGGAAUACCGAUUGCGAAGGCAGGUUACUAACAAUGGAUUGACGCUGAUGGACGAAAGCGUGGGGAGCGAACAGG
rnacentral:rRNA from 1 species